rnacentral:rRNA from 1 species
GAAUGUCACGGUGAAUACGUUCCCGGGCCUUGUACACACCGCCCGUCACACCAUGGGAGUGGACUGCACCAGAAGUGGUUAGCUUAACCUUCGGGAAAGCGAUCACCACGGUGUGGUUCAUGACUGGGGUGAAGUCGUAACAAGGUAGCCGUAGGGGAACCUGCGGCUGGAUCACCUCCUUAAACGA